UCUACAACUCAACAACAACUCCACCUUCCUUCCCUCCAUAGAAGCUCACGGCCACACCUCCUAUAUCACCAUCACCCACUUUCAACCUUCAAACAAACAAUCCAAGUGUACUUCUAGGUGCAAUAGGAUCAACAACGAAGCUUGGUGCUUUCGGAAGUUCAAGAACCACUCUCACUUCCUUUUAUCCACCACUUUUCUGUCUAGUUUCUUCCCUAGCCUCGAGCUAGUAAUGGGCAUAAACCAUUAAAGUGAUGCAUGACGUGAUUGACCGACCUUGACUGUUAGCUAUAUUGAGAAUCUA
rnacentral:lncRNA from 1 species